rnacentral:rRNA from 1 species
UUUGGACGAGGGGCCCCUCUCGGGUUACCGAAUUCAGACAAACUCCGAAUGCCAAUUAAUUUAACUUGGGAGUCAGAACAUGGGUGAUAAGGUCCGUGUUCGAAAGGGAAACAGCCCAGACCACCAGCUAAGGUCCCAAAAUAUAUGUUAAGUGGAAAAGGAUGUGGCGUUGCCCAGACAACUAGGAUGUUGGCUUAGAAGCAGCCAUCAUUUAAAGAGUGCGUAAUAGCUCACUAGUCGAGUGACACUGCGCCGAAAAUGUACCGGGGCUAAACAUAUUACCGAAGCUGUGGAUUGUCCUUUGGACAAUGGUAGGAGAGCGUUCUAAGGGCGUUGAAGCAUGAUCGUAAGGACAUGUGGAGCGCUUAGAAGUGAGAAUGCCGGUGUGAGUAGCGAAAGACGGGUGAGAAUCCCGUCCACCGAUUGACUAAGGUUUCCAGAGGAAGGCUCGUCCGCUCUGGGUUAGUCGGGUCCUAAGCUGAGGCCGACAGGCGUAGGCGAUGGAUAACAGGUUGAUAUUCCUGUACCACCUAUAAUCGUUUUAAUCGAUGGGGGGACGCAGUAGGAUAGGCGAAGCGUGCGAUUGGAUUGCACGUCUAAGCAGUAAGGCUGAGUAUUAGGCAAAUCCGGUACUCAUUAAGGCUGAGCUGUGAUGGGGAGAAGACAUUGUGUCUUCGAGUCGUUGAUUUCACACUGCCGAGAAAAGCCUCUAGAUAGAAAAUAGGUGCCCGUACCGCAAACCGACACAGGUAGUCAAGAUGAGAAUUCUAAGGUGAGCGAGCGAACUCUCGUUAAGGAACUCGGCAAAAUGACCCCGUAACUUCGGGAGAAGGGGUGCUCUUUAGGGUUAACGCCCAGAA